rnacentral:rRNA from 1 species
UCCACGCCGUAAACGAUGAUCACUCGAUGUUGGCGAUAGACAGUCAGCGUCCAAGCGAAAGUAUUAAGUGAUCCACCUGGGGAGUACGAUCGCAAGGUUGAAACUCAAAGGAAUUGACGGGGGCCCGCACAAGCGGAGGAGCAUGUGGUUUAAUUCGAUGAUACGCGAGGAACCUUACCUAGACUUAAAGUAGAUUGCAUAGAUGAAAUACUUUUCC